CCAACAGGAUGUGAACAGGAAAUAUUGUAUGUAACUUCCAGGCUACACAUUUUUUAAGAAGCUGCUCACCUUCCACUCGUUUUCUCCCUUGUCCCACAGACUAGAAUGUGAAUGUGGUGAUAGUGACUGAGAUUCAUCUUUGUAAACAAGAGCAAAAACCUCCUUAGGGGGUGAUGAAACAAGAUAAAAAGAAUGAAGUCUCUGGAUAACAGUGUGGAACAGAACUGCCUGACGCUCAGGACUGUCAACUCAACUGCCUGCCAACCCAGACUCAGAUGAAGAAUAUCUACCAGACAAUGCAAAGAACAGCAAUGUUAUAAUAACCUGUUUCAGAAGCAUAUCCCAGACUUCAUCUAUUGGGUGCUGAACAGGCUAAAGGCUGUGCUGAACCACCCCCACAAGGAUGAAGACUCUGCUAUCUAAUCUGAAUCAAGCAAAAUAUUCCUCCCAAAUAAAGAUUAUCAACCAA